UGCACGUUUGAGGAACGUUGUUUUGUCGAUUCGUACCACUUUAAAUAUUCCGACAGUGCUGUGAGAGUCUGUUAAGCGCAUUUACGCGUCUUUCGUGUGUUUUCUGCGCGCAUUGGAUAUUUCGGUUAUACAAAUUCUUUUUAAUCAAAACUGUAUCAAAACACUCACUGAGAAACUUGUUGAUUGCUUAACUUUGAGAUUUUUUAAUGAAUCGCUGAAUGUUUAAACUUUGUGAAAAAAUCAAUCGCCAAAACUAUUGAGCUGAAUAUUGUGAAGUGAAAAAUAAAUUCGAACAAACACGAACAAGUGAGAAUAGAAAAAUUAAUUCUGCAUAUGAAAGAGCGCGUGAAAGUCGACCAAAAACAAUUACUCCACGCACGCGCCUCGUAUUGAUCGCAUCCGGUUGGCCAACACUAAUAUGGCCCACCAUCAGUACCAGCAGCAGCAGUAUCAGCAAUCACAGUACCAGUAUCAGCAACAGUCGCACUACGGCUACCAAAUACCACAGUACUCGACUGGAUUGGCCGAAUAUGCUCAGCAGAACAAUCCGUCCUCGGUGGUACCACCAUUAGGUGGCGGAAUUUGGUUGAAAGCUUGCUAUAACCAAUUAGACCAGCCGCGAAACGGUACAUCGAAUAGUACCGACCAGAAUCUUCACCAGUCCUUGUAUUCCGAUUCCAACCAAUUGCUUAUGCCGUUUAGCACUACUGCCAAAAUCGUCAUCAGCGGAAUUCCGCAACACGCUAAGUUCGACGACAUUGAGCCGCUGCUGAAACCUUACGGUAAGGUGGAGCACUGCGAGGCUGGAACUAGCAAAGACCCUAAUACCCAAACCGUCCAUAUUACCUUCGAGAAUCACGACCAGGCACAAAGGGCGGUCUCCGGCUUGAACGGAGUGGACUUUGAGGGCUCCAAGUUGCUGGUGGAGCUGUCGGAGGCUAACAAACAGGCUCGACGAGCGCAGCGCAACCGUUCCCAGUACGGUACAGGCAUGUCGGGAGGUGGUGGCCCCGGUCGGCAGACCGACUUCCCGUUGCGUGUGUUAGUGCAGAGCGAGAUGGUCGGUGCCAUCAUCGGUCGGCAAGGCAGCACUAUUCGGCACAUCACGCAACAGAGUCGCGCGCGGGUGGACGUGCACCGGAAAGACAAUGUCGGGUCUGUCGAAAAGGCGAUCACGAUCUAUGGCAAUCCCGAGAACUGCACGAUGGCCUGCAAGAAAAUCCUCGAGGUUAUGCAGCAAGAGGCGAAUAGCACGAACAAAGGUGAGAUCUGCCUGAAAAUCCUGGCCCACAAUAACCUGAUCGGACGAAUCAUCGGUAAGAGCGGGAACACGAUCAAGCGGAUAAUGCAGGAUACCGACACGAAGAUCACGGUCAGUUCGAUCAACGACAUCAGCAGUUUCAACCUAGAGCGCAUCAUCACGGUGAAAGGUACGAUCGACAACAUGUCGAAAGGCGAAAGCCAGAUCAGCGCCAAGCUGCGCCAGAGCUACGAAAACGACCUGCAGGCCCUGGCGCCGCAGAGCAUCAUGUUCCCGGGGCUGCAUCCCAUGGCGAUGAUGUCGACGGCCGGCAACGGCAUGGGUUUCACGGGUCGUACCGCGGGGGGCAGUGUGGUUGGUGGAGGUGGUGCCGCCGGGGGCCCCGGCGGAGCCGGUAUGUAUCCUGGUUCUAACUUCCCGAUGUAUCAACCUCCGACCGGAGGGCCGGCUGGCGUUCCACCAGGCUCAAGCGAGGUGCAGGAAACGACCUACCUCUACAUCCCGAACAACGCCGUGGGCGCCAUCAUCGGUACCAAAGGAUUGCACAUUCGCAAUAUCAUCAGAUUCUCAGGUGCCUCCGUCAAGAUUGCGCCACUAGAGGCGGACAAGCCCCAGGAACAGCAGACCGAGCGCAAAGUUACCAUUAUCGGCACACCGGAAGCUCAGUGGAAGGCGCAGUAUUUGAUUUUCGAGAAGAUGCGGGAAGAAGGAUUCGUAUCCGGCACUGACGAUGUCAGGCUGACGGUGGAGAUUUUUGUACCAAGUGCACAGGUUGGACGUAUUAUUGGCAAAGGUGGACAGAACGUUCGCGAGCUACAACGCGUUACAGGUAGCAUAAUAAAGCUGCCCGAACAUACGGCCAGCACACCCGUAGAUGAAGAAACGACAGUACACAUCAUCGGUCCAUUCUUCAGCGUUCAGUCUGCACAGAGACGUAUCCGCACGAUGAUGCAGGCUACCAAUCCACCCCCGGCCACCAAGCGCCAAUCGUCACAGAAAACCAAGGAGCAGGCGGCAGGUAUGGCCACUCCAGCCACCAGUGCUCCCGCGACCGCCGGCUCGACGCCACCACAGCAACAGCAGUCGUCCAGUACAAACGCAUAAUCAAAACGUCACGUUGCGCAAGAGUAUCACGAGAAAGGCGGUAGCAGCAGCAGCAGCAGCAGCAGCAACAACGACAGUGACAACAGUGGCGACGGCAGGAAAGGUGCAAGCACCACCACGGUCAACCCGGGUAACUACCUUUAGAGGGUGUUUCAAAUCUAUUAUCAGUCGGGAAAAGAAGAUUUAACUAGAUGCUGAAGAUGAGGACAAGAGGAAAGAAGAUAGAAAGUUGCACCGAGGAAGGAGAGGAAACAAUCGGAGGAAAACGCCGAUCGCAGCCUGAGAAGAAGGAAACACAUGAAGCCAAAUACAACCCAAUAACCAACAAUGCAAUAGCCCAGCAACAGAAACCUGAUACCACCGUCCUAUAGAUGAGCCGGUUUCCUUCUUAGCGAUAACGCACUACAGAGCAAAAAGAGCACGAUAUAUUGGUACCAAUUGGCAAAAAAUACGAUCUACUGCAGUUCACCGAGAACGAAAAACCAUUCUCCUACUGGCUUCAAUAAUUAUCGAUUCAAAGCAUCUUGGCCACGUCACUCUGCAUCUCUGGCGUGUGAAUAAUUGGAAACCAAGUCAGCAAAGCCGCAAGGUAGGAGAUAUGCGAGCGAAAUAACGUACGAACUGCAGCGAAAUGAAACGUAAUAGAGCCAAUUCGUAUAAGAAAUUAGUGUUUAAACCUGUUGAAAAUAUAUGUUUUUGCUAAUUUAUUCAGUUGAUAGAAUAUCGAGAAUAAGAAUGCCAACAACAUUUGAGUGUAGUGUAUGAUACUGGCAGUGGAAGAGUAUGGGAAUCGGUAAUGUCAAUCAAUUGAAUAUGUUUUUGUCUUGUCUUAAAAGAUCGCGCAAUGAGAGAUUUAAAACUUUAGUAUGUAAUUUUUGUUCAUUUUUAGGAAGUCUCUUAAGGGAAUGUUUGGAACAAUGCUUGUGGUUGUAGUUUUUCAGUAUGUGCGAGUUAUGAAAGUGAAUGCGGAACCUUGAUUGUAGAAGUAACGUAACUGGGAGAUGAUCAAAGGUGGUACAAAACGAUGAAGCAAGAGUAUUAUGGCAAAGGAGGAGGUACGUUUAUCGUUUGUUUUGGAAAUAUGUAAAAGUGAGUGAGUUUCUCAAACGAACGAAUUUCAUUUCGUUGGCUGCUGCAGUGUGCGUGGGAGACGUUAGGUUAUUUCCCAGAGAAGUUUGACGUGCACCAUGUCAAAUAGCGGCUGACGAUACUCGUUGUUGUUUAUUGUUCGCGCUGUAGGCGGGGCACUGCCGCGAACAGCCGUGCCACUGCCGUUGACUAGAAGAGGGAAGGAGCAAUGUGGGUUUGGAAGCAGGAAGGUGAUUUUCUUGUUCUGCUCGAUAUCUAGAUAGUGUGGGGAGGAGGACCUGUUGUUGUAGCAUCGAAUAUGUUAAGCCGCCCUUUUUAGUAAGUGGUUGACCAAAGAUUGUCGGAAUUUUAUAGCGUUUGACUCCGAUGCACCAUGAGCAAUGUGUGUGUGUUUUUUGCUGAAUACCAAUGAGACAGAUGCGGGCAGGUCCUCUUGAGGCUCUCAAUGGGUCGCUUCCAGAUCCCUAACGCUUAACUAAUCGUAAGCUAGUACAUUUCCUACUAACAACACGUGCUCGCUAAUUUACUGAGUGGAGAGUGGUAAUUGCAACUAAAUCACUACGCCUCAAGAAAAUUGCUGUUGAAACUCCAUGAUAAAACUUUAUGCAGGCAAGAGAAAGCGAAGUAAUAGCAAGAGAUCAAUCUUCCAUUUGCUCACCUAAAUAUUAAUCUUUCCCUCUUCAAGAGAAACUAACUGUAGGAUAGGUAGGUAGGUAGGAAGUGGCUCUUGCAUUAAACGACUGUCAUUGCAAUGCAUCCUAGACCAACUGUAGCUGCAUUGC